ACUCCUACGGGAGGCAGCAGUGAGGAAUCUUCCGCAAUGGGCGCAAGUCUGAACCAGCCAUGCCGCGUGCAGGAUGACGGUCCUAUGGAUUGUAAACUGCUUUUGUACGAGAAGAAACACUCCUAUGUAUAGGAGCUUGACGGUAUCGUAAGAAUAAGGAUCGGCUAACUCCGUGCCAGCAGCCGCGGUAAUACGGAGGAUCCAAGC
rnacentral:rRNA from 1 species